CCUGGGGCAAAGAGCGGCGACCCGGCACCCCAGGCGCCCCCGCGCAGGGAGCGCGGGAGGAAGGGAAGAGCCAGUGUAGAGGAGAGGCCUCAGAGCAAAGCACCUGGGAGAAACGGCUACUGGAGGAGCCUUCCAAGGUCAUCAAGGAAAAAUGCUUCUCGGUGACAUAUGCUCCCUUAUAAUCCAGACUGCUUUGGAAAUAAAGAUGAAUAACUGGUGAUCACUCGCACUUCUUGUGAGGAAGCAAACCUGAAAGUAGAAUCAUCCAUCUGGGGUUGAAUGCAGAUGAUGGAACGUGACAGGAAGGGCUCAAGAUCAUAUGUUCCCUCAAGGUCAGGCUGCGGAGGUUUAGUGGAUCAAUCAGUGAGGACAAAAAUUCAACUAAAGUUUUAUGUGAAAGUACCUUGAGGAGUAUAAUGAUCUGUCUCAUGUAAGUGAGGUGAAAACAAGACAAAAAACCCCAAUCAGCUUCAAACAUGACAAAGAGAGGAUGUGACAAGGAUGCUAGGAUUCAGCAGGAAGGGGGUACAGUACUUGCUGUGGGAACUUGGAGACUUCUGAACAUCACAAGCUGAGAAGGUUUCAUGAGGCCACUGGGAGAAGUAA